rnacentral:rRNA from 1 species
GACNUCCACUUACUUGGAGUCCGAACUCUCACUUUCUAACCCUGUGCACUUGUUUGGGAUAGUAACUCUCGCAAGAGAGCGAACUCCUAUUCACUUAUAAACACAAAGUCUAUGAAUGUAUUAAAUUUUAUAACAAAAUAAAACUUUCAACAACGGAUCUCUUGGCUCUCGCAUCGAUGAAGAACGCAGCGAAAUGCGAUAAGUAAUGUGAAUUGCAGAAUUCAGUGAAUCAUCGAAUCUUUGAACGCACCUUGCGCUCCAUGGUAUUCCGUGGAGCAUGCCUGUUUGAGUGUCAUGAAUACUUCAACCCUCCUCUUUCUUAAUGAUUGAAGAGGUGUUUGGUUUCUGAGCGCUGCUGGCCUUUACGGUCUAGCUCGUUCGUAAUGCAUUAGCAUCCGCAAUCGAACUUCGGAUUGACUUGGCGUAAUAGACUAUUCGCUGAGGAAUUCUAGUCUUCGGACUAGAGCCGGGUUGGGUUAAAGGAAGCUUCUAAUCAGAAUGUCUACAUUUUAAGAUUAGAUCUCAAAUCAGGUAGGACUACCCGCUGAACUUAAGCAUAUCAAUAAGCGGAGGAA